UCGACUGUGGAUUGAUUCUGUGGCACCAACCAUGACAAGCUGUGCUCCAAAAGCCUGGGGAUAGGGCAAAUAGGACUGGAGCCGCUCCGAGUGUGCUCUGGCUGAGCCACACAGACUGUGUCCCCCUGCCAGUUGUCAGCAGAGGUGUGCCAUAGGCUUCACAAGCAAGCAUGAAAAAACUUCAUCAUCUCCAUGACCCAUCUGACAGAUUGGCCUAGGAAGGGGGGCAUCUGCCCUGCUCCAUGCCAGACACAGCUCACAUUCCUCCCAUCUCCAGCACAGCUGCUGCACUCACUCAGCUUAUGAAUCCUGCCCUACUUUGGAUCAGCCCACAGCAUCUUUGAUUUUGAGGCUUGGCAGGCAGGGGACAGAGCUGCUGGCGAGUCUGUGCUGUCACAAGCUGGAGCUACGCUUGAUUUCUGCAAGGAAGGAGGUAUUGCAGACAACACCUGGCCCAUCUGCAGCAAGAUGGAUUGUAGUGAGUGAAGCAUCAGAAGCCUUUUCCUUCCUGCACAAAAGGCACCCUGUGAUGUGUGAAAUACAGACAAUCCCCUCUCAACUGCUAUUUCUGACAGCUUUUAUUUCUCUCAUUGGACUUACUGCUGUAAAAUCUUGCAAGCAUUAGUAUUGAAUUAUAUUGAAUGAGGAUGAGAAAUUUUAACCAGUUCUUUACCUGAGGGACUCAAUGAGGGAUGUCUGCAGCUGCUAAGAUAAAGCUUUUGACCUUCUCUUGCCUGCAGACACCUCCCAAAAGAUCUUCUGAGACCAGCCCUGAUCCCACAAAAGUGGGAGCAGGAUUUGUGGUGUACCUCUGGGCAAAACCAGGCUGUGCAAAGUGUCCACAGAAGUAAAAAUGGCAUUCAAAGGCCAGGGGUGGCAGGUUUAUAGCAGCUGAAGGAGAAGCUUAUUUUGGUUGAUGUUUAUAUCUGAACUAACUUAACCCUGCCCUAAAUAGUCUGCACUGCUGUGCUGCACUGAGCAGUGCUGGUGACAUUUCAGCAGUACCAGGUGGGUAGUAUGGUGGGGCAUGCAUGUGCAGGACACCAGCCAAAGCCCAGUAUCACCCAGCUUGGGAAGUUCCCAAAAUGUUCACUUGAGGACUUUCAGCUCUUACUCAUGCCACUGUGCAUGCUGGGAGGUGGGCCAGUUUUGCUGAAGGCAAACUCAUGAAAUUGUGACUGUAUAGAGGGCAGAGAGCAGUGCUGUGGGGCAAGGUCUGGGUGCUGCGACCAAGACUGAGGUCUCUGGCCACAACCUGGAGCAGAAAGCGCAAUCCCAGACACAGGGAUCUGGCCCUAAGCACCCCCAUGAUAAAUGUAAGCAUUCCACAAAUAAUAAUAAAAAUGGAGAUAAUUAGUCCAGCCUGCUGGAAUGGCCCUUGUACCACUGCCUGGCCCUGUGGGAUGGAAAAAGGAGCUUAUUCACCAAGGAGUGCCUAAGGGAGGCUCAAAAGAAGGAGAAUCAGAUAGUGAAGCUGCAGGAGAUCAGGCUCUGAGGAACAGGGCUGCUUCAGCCUACGAGCACAAGAGGAAACUCAAACUGACGGCUCUUUCUGCCUUCAGCUGCAGCUGAGAUGUACCAUGAAGCACCACAGCUCUGACAGGGGAGGCAGGAGUGAGGAGCUGACCCACACCUUUGUGUGUUUGGAUUUUGACUCUGGCUGCAGUCUGCUGCCCCAAACACAGCCCACCAGCCUGACAGAUUCCCAGUACAGCCUCCCAAUAGUGCCCAGUAGAAGGCCAUGUGUGGGUGAUGUCACUGUGCCAGGGUGUGCCUUGCCACACAAGGGCCCUGUGUACCUCCAGUGUUACCUGUGCCCACCAGGAGCUGGGGUCCUGUCUGUGCAUUUAAAGGCUUUGCCUUGCCCAGCAGGAAAAUUUAUAAAAGAUUGUAUGGAAAAAACCCUCUGGCCUCUCCUAACCUUUGGGAACUUGCUAUCGUUGUUCUUUUUGUGUGUUUUUUGGCAAGUUGUUUCAUCCUACAAUAGCACAUGAAUUCUGCCGUGACAGCAGAUCACUAGGAGACCGAGCCAGAUCUCUGUUAGCAGCCCACGGACACUGUUUCCAGAGUGCUGUAUGGCAGAUGGGCAAGACAAGCUUUCUGAGGCUGGGGAUCUCAUCUGAAACCCACAGGAGUGGAUUUGGGAGUGAGUCUGUCAAGAAUCCUUGUUCUCUGAGGAGGCUGAAGGUCUCCUGUGUCGAGACAGGCAGUAGCUGGCAUGCAUUGCUGGCUCAGAGGCAGCUCUUUGUUGCUGCCCUCUUUUCUGAUUGCGCUCCUUCCUCUUCCCCAGGCAGCAGAGCAGGCUGCAGCAGGAUGUGGGCACAAGCAGCCAUGUCAGACUCCUGCAGAAACCCAACAAGCACAGGCAGCUGGGCUGUAACACUCAGUCCCUUCCAGCAGUGCACUGCUGCUGGCCCCAUUACCAACACAGGUGGCUCACAGGUGCUCCCUGCUUUUCUUAAGCACAGCCAACGAAUUAAACCUUAAACCAUAAAUUACA